rnacentral:lncRNA from 1 species
GGGUUUCCUUCGGGAGGCUGGAUGAUGGAAGACGGUCAGGACGGGCAUCUCCGCUUGGCUUAACCUCCAGUUUUACACUGUCUCGGUGAGGGGGGGGGACCUUCUGCUAUCAAAGGUUUUACAGAUGGUUCUAGAUGUGGCAACAGAUUAGUAAAGGGAAAAGCAACGACUUGCUUGGCAGAGCUUACACUUCUCAAGUGUUGACCUGGGUUUUAAAUUUUGCGACUGUAAUUUUAGACAAUGCGGGACACGCACAGAAGCUGCCUCGGAGGUAAAGGGAGACGAGAGGAGUAUCGUUCUGGACUGGGUCCUCGCUGAAGGCCGGUGGUAACACCCAGGACAAAGCACCAAAACUGGAUCAGUUAGGGGGGUAUGAAUAGGCAUGGAUUCUUUUCCUUCCCGACCGGGGCAUCUUUCCAGACAGACUUUUGGGGAGGCUUCUAAGGGCCCCUGUAAUGAUUGCAUUACCAUGUUGGCCCUGACGAUGUCCCAAGGCACUUGGGCUGAGACUCACUGUGUGUCUGCCCAGCAGAGACGUGGGGGGGGGGGGGGGGGGGGGAAGUGAUGUUUCCUGCAGAAACCUUCAACGGUCUCCCAGCAGUGGUAGUAAAUCUGGGGUCAGCUUUUCUGACCCUUAGACAUUAAGCAAGCUACAGGAAGUGAGUGCAGAAGUCUCCUGGCCAGGCAAAUAAUGAAGUGUAUCCCAGUACGCUUAGCUGCAAACCGCCCCCCUCCCCCCAGAGGAAAAUCAGGAUUACAAAAGGGACGGAGGUGUCAGAAGAGAGGAGUGAGAAGUCUGAGCGGUCAGCCUCCUCGAGGAUUGUCUGGGACAAGAAAGGGAAUUCGGGGGGUGGGGGGCGGGCCAGGACCGAGCUCCAGGGUGGAGCUGUUGCUGUUUGCUUCUCGCCAGCCGGCAUCGUACAAAGAUGUGGUUUACCCACCAGCACUGAACAAAUGUCCGUCCCUUCAUGGGUGGUCGGAUCCGGUGCACAGGGGGAGGUGGAGAGCAGAAGACAAAGACAAUCCGACUCGAGCCCACUGACCUUUCCCCUUGUCGUGUGUCCUAGGGAGGUCUGGUUCUCAUUGGGCUUCAGACAAACCACAGUGGACCCCUUCCUCCCGGGAGGAGCCCCUGCCUUCUUGCCCGGGGUGGCUGGAAGCAUCGUCUGAGUACCUGUCCUUCUUCCUCCGACAGCUUGCUGACGGACAGCACCCUAGCAUCUGGGGCAGCGUUUACAGAGCGCGGAACACUCGUGUACUUGUUAGCCCUCACCCCACGCCAGUGGCUGGCUACUGUCCUCCUCUCGCAGCGUGGAACCUGAGCUCCAGAGGGGUUAAGAGACGUGUUCAGCAUCACACCACCUGACGAGAAAACGGCUCAGCCGAGGGUGUGGCACGGGUGUUCUUGUCCCAGUUUGCACACGGGGAAGCCGAGGCGCAGAGAGCACCCACGCGUCCUGCCCGCGGACUCGGACUCGGCAUUCGUGGGACGUCAGUAUCCAUCCGGGGAACGAGGCGGUCUGGCUCCAGAGCCCCGGCUCUUUGUGUGUGUCCUAGACCGCCUUUCCCACUGCUCGGGGCGGGGGUGGUGUCUUCUUGAAGGCAGAUUCCGAUCUCGUGGGUCGAGGGGAUGGCCCACGGUUCUGCAUUUUUUUAAACAAGCUCUCAGAUGACGCGAUGCCGACGGCCCACAGGCAGCUGCGGGGAGUGAUGACGCUCUGUGCUCCAGCUACGUGUUAUUGUUAUCUGACUGCCAGAAUUCAUUGAUCCAUCUCUGGUUGCCAAAAUCCCUUGUCCCCUCCCACACACACUACUGGCAUGCCCACUCCUAAGGGUACCCUUCUCUCCAAAUCUGUAGCUAUUCUAUGGUUGCAGUCAUUAGGACGAUGGCCCCUCACCAAAAAUGAAUAUAAUAAUCAUUUGGGGAGCUCUUUCAACACGAACACCCUCUCCUCUCAAUUGCAGACAGUCUGAUCCGGGAUAUUAGGGGCGGGGCGAGGGGUAAGAACAGAGAGAUUCCCUGCUGUUUCUGGUAUAAACCAACCUAUCCUUUCUCUUACCCUUUCAAGUCACCAGGUACCCAAGUCACCUACGUAACAACACCCAGGAAGUGGCUAGGAAAAUCAGAAUUCUCCUGGGUGGUGAAUACUCUUCCAGAAAGCUUCCUCUUCCCAAUAGCAUUAAGAUAGGUCCACUUCUCUGCCAAUCCCCCAGUGCUAGGCACGGAUUGAUGCUCCCACUUCCUCCUCCCCUGUGCCUCAACUCUCUAACUGCAGACUUCAUUCUCCUGCCCCACAUCAGCUUAGCCAAUAGGCAUAACACUGAGCCCUUCUGGAAAGGAUCAAAAUCACUUCUGACCUGACAAGCCUAAGACUGAAGGAGCAUGGAUGGUUUUUCUCUCUCCCUUUAAGCCCUGAGCCCAGUAAUCUAGCUGUUCUGAGUCUUGGCCUCAGAAACAAGAACUCUUCAAGACGAGUCCUUUCUCUUUAAGGAUUUUCAAAGACCAGCUCCUUACAUGAUUAUGUUUUCCCCUGACCUUUUUUUCCUACAGUUCCAAAGAAAGCCUCACAUUGAGGAAAACUAGAAAGGCAUGAUUCAGUGAUGUCAAAUGCUCUCAGGAUUCCUCCUUCCAAAGUCUUUGUUAAUUGUGCCCUGUAUCUAUAGUGAUAAAUUUAAAGAGACACGAAGCAGCAGGAUCCCAAAGACACUAGAUGAUUGUGCUGUUCCAUUAAGUUGAAACAAUGCAGCAGAGUCUCGAGUCUAUCUCCAGGGCAACAGAAAAUGCCAGUCACCGUCAGGUGGGCUUUCUGAUGAAUCUUUUAAAAUGGACUUUCACGUACUUGUGUUAUUUUUAAUAUGGGAAAAUUGAUUUCAUAAGUAUUUAAAUAAAGUUAAAAAUACUUUGAACCAAAAAUAUAUCUUUGCUUUAAUCCCAAAUUUUGCUUUUUGGUAUUUUGUUGAUUUGUGGCAAAAUAAAAUUUCUCAGAUCAGAUCGAAAGAAAGACCCCAUGAAAACCCCAAAAGCAACAUAUUAGCAAAAAAAAAAAAAAAAUGGCAACAUAGUGAGAUGUGGUCUUAAAAAUCUCUAUUGCCAAACCAUUUCACUUCGCUCUGGACAUCAGGCUUGGAUCUUCUAGGAAGGCUGAAACAAUCAGGUACAAGUGAGGAGCUCUUAAAAUACGGCUGUAGGCCAAGGGCCCUGAGCCCUGUGGAGGGCAAAGCAAGACUGCAUCCUGUUGGACACUCCGUCCCCAGUCUCUCAGUCUGGCCUCAGCUGGUCCUCUGCGCUCAGCUUUGAAUCCUCGCCAUGACCUCUUGUGCAUGACCACCCUUUUUGACGGCAUUUUUCUUGGCUGACCUCAAAAUUCUCUUUUGGAUAUAAUAUAUAUAUUUUUUAAUGUUUAUUUAAUUUUGAGAGAGGAGGGGGGAGAGGCACAGAGAGAAGGGGACAGGGGAUCUGAAGCAGGCUCUGUGCUGAUAGCAGAGAGCCUGAUGCAGGGUUCGAACUCAGGAACUGUGAGAUCAUGACCUGAGCUGAAUUCCUACGCUUAAUGGACUAAACCAUCCGGACACCCCCGGAUAUAAUUUUAAAUCCUUGCUCUGCAGACACAUUUAUGAUGACUAGGAACAAAAACUUCUAGAGCUAUGCUAUCCAAGAUGGUAGCCACUAAUCAUGUGUGUCUAUUUAAAUAACUUAAAAUUAAAUAAAAUGUAAAAAUCCAGGUCCUCAGUCACACUAGGCACAUUUCUUUUUUUUUUUAAUUUUUUUUUUUAACGUUUAUUUAUUUUUGAGACAGAGAGAGAUAGAGCAUGAAUGGGAGAGGGGUAGAGAGAGAGGGAGACACAGAAUCGGAAGCAGGCUCCAGGCUCUGAGCCAUCAGCGCAGAGCCCGACGCGGGGCUCGAACUCACGGACCGCGAGAUCGUGACCUGGCUGAAGUCGGACGCUUAACCGACUGAGCCACCCAGGCGCCCCACACUAGGCACAUUUCAAGGGUCCAAUAGCCACAUUCCCUUCCCUGCAGAAAGUUCUAUUGAACAGUGUGGAUUUAGACAUAUUCCUACUUUCGGGGCGCCUGGGUGGCUCUGUCGGUUGAGUGUCCGACUUUGGCUCGGGUCAUGAUCUCGCAGAUUGUGAGGUCGAGCCCCAUGUCGGGCUCUGUGCUGACAGCUGGGAGCCUGGAGCCUCCUUCGGAUUCUGUGUCUCCCCUCUCUCUACCCCUCCCCCUGCUCACGCUCUGUGUCUCUCUCUCAAAAAUAAGUAAACAUUAAAAAAAAUUUUUUUAAUUAAAAAAAAGAAAUAUUCCUACUUUCAUCCCAAAUGAAAGGAGCUGACCAAUUUGACGUCAGUUAGGGUCUUCCCCAAUUCCCCCUAAUCCAAGUAAUAUGGAACUGAUACCACUAGAGUCUAGAAUAAUGUUGUUAGUAUCCUCCUGAGAUAGUUCCAGCAGCGGUUUAGAGUUCCUUCAGAUGACUCUGGAAUGCCUGCAGCACCAUUUUGACCAUCUACAUACUGAAAAAUAUCAAAUACAGGGUAGCUAGAUCAUCAGCGAAGAAGACUUUGGUUGAGGAACUCAGAGCAGCACGUGAUGAGGGGGCAUAAAGGCCGCAAACACCCCCCACCCCCGGGGGGGGGGGAUAUGUGUGAUAUUCUUCGGGCACUCCAUGCUGCCCAAAAACAAAGGAAAGGGGGAAACAAAAGGCCAACUGAUAGAGAUCACAGUCAUGCAGGACCUGAGUUGACCGUAUCUUAGUAAAUUACAAGAAAUAAAUUACAAGUAAAUAUCUUAGUAAGUUACAAGAAAAAAGCAUUCUUAUCAAUAGCCUAAUCUCCAGAAACCCACAGACUCGGUUUCCUGGAGCCCCAACAUCACCGCUCCACAGGGAUGUGGGAAACAAAGACAGAAGGAAAUGGCAGAUAAAAUUAAAUUUCCUUAUAAACUGCAGCCCAUUGACAAAUAACCUGAGGCUGUCAGGAACUCCCUUACUGUUUUAAUGCUAAUGCUUUGCUAGAGGGAAAAACCACCUAAGCUUGACAAUAAGCAGCUUCCAGUAUCCCCUGGGUCUUCUUUAGCAUAUGAAAAUCUCAUUGGAAAUUCUGCUGGACUUGACCUCCCCCAACAGCCAAAAGUAUAACCAGUCUCUCCACAGGGUCCUGGGGCAGCUGCCCACGGGUCCCGUCCCCGCGCUUUACUAAAAUCACCUUUUUGCACCAAAGACGUCUUAAGAAUUCUUUCUUGGCCAUCGGCUCCGGACCGCCCACCAUCACCCUGAAAACCUCAUCAGCGUGGAAAAGGUGACUCGAGGAACAGCAGAAUACCGCAUUUAUUACAAUACAUAUGGGCAGAGCCAGACUAUAUUAGUUUGCUGCUUAUUUGUUUAUUCAUUUGGCAAGGUACCUGACAUUCCACUGUUCGAGUUUUACUCCUCUGGGUUUUAUGGGUAUCUUCUUUAGUCUCUCGACUAUGACAGGGUGCAUAGACUACCCUGGUGGGCAGGAGAGAAAGAGGCAGAACAAUAGGGCAAUAAGGGUAGCUAUUCAUGUUCUCUUGACUUCCCUAGAAACAGCCCUACAGGUGAGAGAGAGAGUGAAGAUAAAGACCAAGGGGCCUCAUCAUAUAUCAUGUAUCAGACGUCAGAAAUUAUGUUUUGAUGUUACUUGUUACACACUCCGCAUAGUGUUGGGCCCAUAGGUAUUCAACACAUACCUGAUAGAUAUUCAAUUUUAAGAACAGUGUCAACAUUACUUUAGCAUUGGGGUGACUGGGUGGCUCAGACGGUUAAGUAUCUGAGUUUGGCUCAGGUCGUGAUCUCAGGGUUCGUGAGUUCAAGUCCCGCAUCAGAUUCUCUAUUUGCUGUCCGUGCAGAGCCCAUUUCAGAUCCUCUGUCUCUCCCUCUCUCUUCCCCUCCCAGUUCCUACUCUCUCUUUCUCUCAAAAAUAAAUAAGCAUUAAAAAAAAAAAAAAAAGAUUACUUUAGCAUUAGAAUCAUUCUGAAGCAUUUAAGCUAAUUUCUUAAGUACCCAAAGUAAGUUUUCUCAUGCAUUUUUGGUCUCAUGAGCAAAAAUGAUCUCUUCCACAUCCCUACCCCAAACAAAACUUCAUUUGAUUCACUCAUUGGUUUAUUUAUUCAUUCAAGUGCUAUUUUCUGUACCUACUCAAGCACCGUCCUGUCUCUGCAAGGAUACAAAGUUGGAGAGUACUAGCUGUCGUACAAACUUGACCGAUCUAUACAAUCCCAGUUUGGAUCUGCAACUUCUAGAGUGGAAGAUUCCUGGCUUGACUAUCUGGGUUUUGUAUCCUCCAGCCCCAGUUUCCUGAAUCCCAGUCUAUCAGCUCCAAUUCAGCUUGGGUGCCCAACUUUUAACAAACAAAAACCAACCCAAACAAACAAACAGAGUUAGACUUCAAGACUAACACGGUGACUCUUCUGGAAUCCAGGCUCUUGUCCCCUUGUUGCAACCAGCUUAUUCCACCCUUUCAUGAUCUAAGAUCUACAUUCCGUGUGACAGAGAGAAGAGAAACAGAAGAAGAUCAUCCCUCCACCCUUUUCAGGGAGAGGCUUCCUCUUAAUCUCAUUGGGCAGAAUUUAAUCCCAUGGCUGCACCUUGCUAUGAAAGAGAAUGAGAAGUUUCAUCUUUUUACCACUGGGCUUCGGAUCCAAAAGAGAAUAUCUACAGUGGAUGAUGGGGGUGGGGGGGGCUCCUGUCUAGCUCAGUCAUUCAAUGGAGCAUGCAACUCUUAUCUCAGGUCAUAAAUUCAAGCCCCGCAUUGGGUGUAGAGUUUACUUAAAAAAAUAAUAAUAAAUAGAAUGGGUGAUAGGGUAGGCACCUAACAAUCUCUGCCACCUGUCACACACUGUGCUCACUCUAAGCACACUGCCUUCAGAUGCAAAGGCAAUAACCCAUGCCCUCUGGUGAUGGAAACAAAAGUCGUUAACCUUGAAUGAUAUUCACAUCACCAGCGUUGGUUGAAUUGUGUAUAUUGCAAAAUUCUAAUCUCAUCUUUUGCACGCUUACUUGUUGCUGUAAAAUAGGAGUAAAAGAGAUGUUUAGAUGUCAGCGGACACAACUAUUAAAAACUUUCAUACAUAUUAAGACAAAACCCUUGCAGAGGCAAUAACAAAGCCAUCAAACACUAAGAGCUAUAAAAUUAGAACAUCUAAGUUUUUUAUAAAAAAAACAAAACAUUAAAUUGGUCAUAUUGACCAUGGUAUUUUAAAUUUCCAAUUAUCCUGCUAAUUGCAAUAUCUUAGAAUAGGACAUGGAAAAUGGGGAAGUAAAUUAGUGUUACCAUGAGAACCCUAAUUUUUGAGACCAUAACUUUGAAAUAACUCCAUGUCUUUAGUUUUCAUGCAUAAAAGAAACAGAGCACAGUGGAAAACAGGAGCCUGUAGAAUACAGUGACAAAGCCCAUGGUGGCUUUGAUGUUAAUAUCUGACAGAGUUUAAAAAAAAAAAAGGAGGGGGCCAGAUCAGACCUUACCUGAGGCUGCUAUUCAAUUGGGGAUAAUUAAACUACCGCCAAGUUUCUCAAGCAGAGAAGAAACACAUUUUCUCAGGUGAAGAAGGGUGCUUCUCUAAGUUCUGUUCAAACCAUCCCCUAAAUACACUGAAAGAACUGUGAUUUACUGGAGGUUUUAACUGUGUGUAGCCCAUGCUUCAUUUGCUUUUGCUCCAGUGGUUAAUGUCAGAUCCCUGUCCAAAACAAAGUCGCCCUCUCCACCGCCAAGUGCUUCUGAGACUUUCUCCAUUGGCUUGUGGAAAAGCCUGGAUGAAUUUCAAGAGGCAGCUGUGGUGUUUUGUUUUGUUUUGUUUUGUUUUGUUUUGUUUUGUUUUCAGGCUCCCUGGUAUCCUGACCCUGAUUGCCACACCUAUAGGCCAGUGGCUGGUGGUCACGUCCAUGAGGGCUGUGGCUGCCCCAGCACCUUGCCAGGUCUGCUGGUCCCACCUCACUGACACAAAUCAUAGACUCCUGGCCAGUACUAGCUACGACAUCAGUAGAAAGCUACGGCAUGACUGAAACCCAGCCAUGGGACGAGCAUACACGGGAGCUGUAAUCCUGUGGCAGACUCUUGUCUCCCUGUAUCCUGUCCCUCCCCGCCUCCCAUUUCCGCAGUAAUAGAAUCCAUAAUUUUCACAAUGCAAAAUAAAGACCAUACUCUUUAGCUUCUUCUGCGAUUAAAUGUAAGAGCACCCCAAAACAUAAAAGUGAACAUGGAAGAAAGGAGUCAUGCUCCCCUUUUUCCCUUCUUCCUAUCUGUUGGUGAGAAUAUAAAUGCAAUGGCUGGAGCUCCAGCAACAAUCUUGAGCCGUGAGAUGACCUGGAGAAUGGAAACUGUGCAUGCAAAGACAACCAAACAAAAAAAGGACUUUGGGUUCUCUCGACACUAUGAAGUAAAAUCUAUCUCAGAAGUAACUGUCUCGGAGUAGCAGAACAUAUGAGAAAAGCAUUCUAUUUUGCUCACGUCACUGUUUCAUGUUACUUGCAGCCAAAUUGAAUCCUACUUAUAUCCUACAAAUAAAAGCUAGCCAUACUCAAAACAGGGACAUGGUGAGCUGGUUUUUCACUUUCUGGGCCCUCCUUUAUGAUUUUUCUCCCAGAGCCCACUGUUCCCUGAGCCCCUCUGUGUGCCUCUGCACUAAUGCCCUCCAACGAAGAGCUCAUACUCUGUAAUUUUUCCAAUCAUUCUUUUUCUAUCCAGAUUUACCAAUCCUACAUCCCAUUCUUUUGGGAACUGGCAGGUGACUGACUAAGUAAUGUGACAAUUAAACUUAUACUGAGUUAUUCACGUGCAGUAGUGAGUGUUUUUAUUCUAGGAUAGUGUUCCAACAGGGGUUUGGGUGACUAGACCCGAGGAAUGACUAACGUGGAUACCCUAGCAGGUAAUUAUGUUAGGUAUUUUCAGGCAGGCAGACUUUUUGACAUGUGAUAUAAGAAAUACCACUGUGCAAACUGUCAGGCAGCUACACGUUUACAUAGCAUGUCAGAUUCAAUUAGGAUUCCCAGAUAUUUAUCUCAACUUUCUUCUCGUACUACUUGGCUGUAUAAAACCACACCAGUGGCAUUCAAAAUAAGAUACAUGCAGCCUAGGUGAGAUGAAUUGUGGAAGUUAACAGUUGGAAAACUUUCCAAGUUUUCAGAAAUGAUAUUCUUUUGAUUUUUCCUACCUCAGAAAUCAGAAACUGUUUGAAAAAGACCCCCGCGUCCAACAGAAUAACGUGUGGUGCAAAGUCCCGGGCUCCCCCCCGCCCCCACCCCUAAUCUCCAUCCCCUAGCCCUCAACCACCCAAACAGGCAUAGGAUCUAAGUGAAAACACGUGCCAGAUGAAAACAUCACUCCGAGACAAAUCCAGUCCUUCCAAGAAAAGUGCGACUCCCCAACACCCUCCCGUUUGGGAAAGAGAGGGCUGUCACCGGACAAUACGAUGUCGUUUUUUACUUCGUCAAGCCAUCCAAGGCAAAUCUAAUUAUGUGCGACACAGUGAUAAUUUGUAGUUGUUUCCGUAUUUGUACUAACGGGCUGUUCCUCAGCUUCUUAGAACUCAGCUAGCUGACAGGGAAAUAUAUAAUGAGGAAAUGCAGAGGACCACCUGAGUCAUCAAAUGCUGCCUGAGUAAAUAUCCACUCUUAGCCUCCAUUGGCAUCACUUCCAGUAGAAAUACAGUAAUCGGAGCCUGUGCCUUAGACCCCACAGCAACAGCUAAUGACCAACGUGUAAUUGUAAACCAGCUUCCUUGAAGAUAGCACUGAAAUGCGAGGCCAGCCUCGGAAAGUAUGGAAGCAAGUAACCUCCUGGUAACCUCUUAUCUUUCCUUUCAGCGCCCCCUUAUCUUGCAGUCCUCUCCCCCGCUCCUGCCUUUCAUCCCACUACUGUUUACAACCGUGGACCCCUGGCAGGAAAUGAGUCAAAAAAAAAAAAAAACACAAAAAAAAACUAUCAAAAUAUCUCGUUACCCACAAUAGAAAAAAUUCUUAAGUGACUGUCUCCUCCUCUUAUCUGCACUUUAAGAAAUGUCUCUGACUCUCUAAUUGUUGUUAUUUGUUUUUUAGGUCUUAGGCCCUUACUCCUAAGACCCCGACACAAAGGGGCCCACUGGGAGCACCCCUUCCGACCCACCCACACUCUGCUAGGCAUUGUGGGGGCGUACAGGUCAUCUGGGACACCACCGCCCCCAUUAGCUUGUUGUCUUGUGGGAGACGAGACAGAAUGAAUGAAACAAUCAGAAAACAAUGUCAACUGAAGACAAUGAACAAUGAUGUCAUAUUAUAAAUCAGUCCUUGAAACAAGGUGCAGGCCUAAAGAUAGAGCUCAGGUGAGUCCGGAAAGAGGUGGGUGGAGAGGUGUAAGAACUGGAAAGGUCCAGUGAGGACAAUGCGAGCCACGCAAAGUUCAGAGAGAGUUUUCGGCACUGCUAAAGGCAAUUGUUUUGGUCAGAACUUGAUCCUGUGAAGGUCUUUGUGAAUUUUCAGGGUUUUUUUUUCUUUCUUUCUUUCUUUCUUUCUUUCUUUCUUUCUUUCUUUCUUUCUUUCUUUUUUUCUUUUCUUUUCUUUUUUUUUUUUUUUAGUAAGUCUAAAGAGAAUUUUCAGUUUUGAGGCACUCAGCCCUGGUUAAAAGGAAAAGGAUUCUUAUGCAUGCCCCUUUCUCUUGUCUACUAGUGGGAAAGCCACUCGGGUUACUGCAUGGGAGUGACCCUUAGCUCUCUUCUGUACCCAUCGGCAGGAGAGCUUGGUUUUCCUCUUCAGCAAAAUCCUUUGGGAUGCAAGGAAAGGAAGGAAAGAGACACUUCCACUAAAAGGCUGUUACAGAAAAAUAAGCAAAAACGAAGUGAGGGCUUAACCUUGCUUCUAAGUCAGAUUAUGCAUACGCAAUGUUUCAUUCUAAUCUUUUUGUAAUAUAAGCAAGAAUUUGGAGGCACUAAAGUCAAUAUUUAAUUACCCAUGAGUUCCACAUAAUGUGUCCUUUUGCAAAUGUAAAAUUCUUGCCAUUAGGAAGAAAAAUCCAGUCUAAAGUGAGUGAGAUGUUGCUUCUAAUUCUAGAUUUAAAUAAAGGUUUCAUUUAAACAUGGUUUAAAUUGUUGUGUUCAUCAAUUUAUGACUCCGUGGGAAAUGAGACAGAGAAAAAAUGCCUAGCACACUGGCCGUGCUGUGUGGUGCUCCAUAAACGUUAAAUUUAUUAUUUUUAACAAAACUGUAAAAACUAUAAUCUGCAAUAACACAGAUUUAUUGAGCAUUUGUCAUUAGCUCACCUUGUGUUUUUCCAUUUAGAUGAAUUUAAAAUUUUUUUUUCAACGUUUAUUUAUUUUUGGGACAGAGAGAGACAGAGCAUGAACGGGGGAGGGGCAGAGAGAGAGGGAGACACAGAAUCGGAAACAGGCUCCAGGCUCCGAGCCGUCAGCCCAGAGCCCGAUGCGGGCCCCGAACUCAUUGACCGCGAGAUCGUGACCUGGCUGAAGUCGGACGCUUAAUCGACUGCGCCACCCAGGCGCCCCUCCAUUUAGAUGAAUUUAAAGUGCACAGUGGAGGGGCGCCUGGGUGGCUCAGCCGGUUGAGCUCCCGACUUCGGCUCAGGUCAUGAUCUCACGGCUUGUGAGUUCAAGCCCCGAGGCGGGCUCUGUGCUGACGGCUUAGACCCUGGAGCCUGCUUUGGAUCCUGUGUCCUCCUCUCUUAUCUCCCUCUCUGUCAACCUCUCUGCUCACACUCUGUCUCUCAAAAAUGAAUAAACAUUAAAAAUAAAAAUUAAAGUACAUGGUGGAAAAUGUUUGAAAAUGUGCAUAGUGUUUAGAGUAGACCAGACCCUCCCUAAAACUCUUAGCUGGAGAUUCUGUGUUAGAACUUUCUUUGCGUGCUUUUGUAAGCACUCUCUCUCAGCCAAGAACUCAAAGUUGCAAUUUAUAAUUGUAUCAUGGCAUCAAACAGGUCUUCACUGACUGACAAAACCAUUCUGCUUCUCCAAAGUGGGGACGUUUUAGUGCGUAUUUUAGUGCGUUUUAGUGGAUGUCCGUGGGCCAUUCGUAUUUAAAGAAACGGCUGCUUACCCAGUAGAUCUGUGUAGUGGUUUCAACAGCUGUUACCUUCUAGACUUUCUUUCGUGAGCGAUUAGCAUCUUUGGCCAUUUGCAGGACAUUGCUGGCUUCCCCCAACAGAAGGACUCGGGGGUAUAAAUUAAAUGUAGGUAACCAAACUACUUUAAAUGCAAUAGAGCUUUCAAACAAAUCCUCUGGUUGUCCCUUUGCAAAGGGAAGGAUUCUUUUACAAAGCCAGUAAUCACUUCCUAAUGCGUGGGUUUUGCAAAUCUGGAAUUUAAUCCCUCAGCUUGACUUAAAACAGGUAGCUCCUUCUUUAUUUGCUACUCUGCAAGUAGGUCUUUUGGCUUAAUUAUAAUUUAAGGAAUAAAAGAAUCAAGGCCAGAUUGCUCCAAGCGUGCUCUGGUCUGGGCAGGAUUGAUUAUUCACGUGCAAAGGGUAGUAAUUUGGGGUACACGGAAGGGAACGUAAGGUGCAGAGGUGGGCUGGUGGGGGGAGGGGAGGGGACCGUUCCCCAGAACAGUAAGGUCAAAGUUUAAACACCUUUGAUUCUCUUUUUAAAUUUACCAGACUGUUGGGGGAAUUGUCUCCUACAAAAGCAAACAAAUGAAUGAAAAAUGCAAGCUGGUGCAGCCACUCUGGGAAAUAGUAAUGAGGUGCCUCAAAAAACUAAAAAUAGAACUACCCUACAACCCAGCAAUUGCACUACUAGGUAUCUAUCCAAGGGAUACAGGUGUGCUGUUUCGAAGGGACACAUGCACCCCAGUGUUUAUAGCAGCACUAUCAACAAUAGCCAAAGUAUGAAAAGAGCCCAAAUGUCCGCCGAUGGAUGAAUGGAUAAAGAAGAUGUGGUAUAUAUAUACAAUGGAGUAUUACUCUGCAAUCAAAAAGAAUGAAAUCUUGCCAUUUGCAACUAUGUGGAUGGAACUGGAGGGUAUUAUGCUAAGUGAAAUUAGUCAGUCAGAGAAAGACAAAAAUCAUAUGACUUCACUCAUAUGAGGACUUUAAGAGACAAAACAGAUGAACAUAAGGGAAGGGAAGCAAAAAUAAUUUAAAAACAGGGAGGGGGACAAAACAGAAGAGACUCUUAAAUACAGAGAACAAACUGAGGGUUGCUGGAGGGGUUGUGGGUGGGGAGACGGGCUAAACGGGUAAAGGGCAUUAGGGAGGACACUUGUUGGGAUGAGCGCUGGGUGUUAUACGUAGGGAAUGAAUCACCAGCAUCUACUGAAAUCAUUAUUGCACUAGACGCUAACUCACCUGGAUGUAAAUUAAAAAUUCAUUUUAAAAAAAGAUGUGUAAGUACAGCAAGGAAAUAUCUAAGUUGCUGUUGUAAAACAAAACCAGGGAGAUGGGAAGGGACAGAAUUAGUUGCAGAAGUAUGUUUUUCUAAGCUGGAGACUAGAAAACCAAAAAGUAAGACCUUCCGCCUAUGGAAAAAGGCUGGGCCACGUCCUUUUCAUUUCUCCUUUGUGCCCCCCACUCACAUGCUUCUGUCUUCAGUUACCGCCCUGCAGUCCUCCAGGGAGAAAAAGAAUCUUGCUUUGUCCCCGCCAGACCUUCAAAGCAAACGUAGCCCUUUGUUCUCAGAGCUCUUUCACCUUCACGAAAUGCUGAUACAGUUUCCACGAAUCAGAGGAAAUCUGACGGUAGGAGUAGAGGCAGGUUUUGCAGAAAAAGAACUUUCUUCCUGCAACCAAGACAGGAUACAUUUAAAGUCACCUCCUCUGGGAUAAAUACUGAUGUGUUGGUGGCCUAGACCCUACAUGCUUUAAGGAUCCCUUUCUCGGACUCUAUGCCAAAAAGUGUGAGAAUUAGAAAAAAAAAGAAAAAUCUAUUCUGCCUAAAUGCUAUCCCUCUCUGUGUCUGUCUACAUUUUUCUCAAGAUUUUAAGCUGAAUGUUCUUCAAGGUGAUGCAUUUUCAAAAGGAAACCUCUAAUUCUGUCUGCUCAGCUCAAUCAACCCCUUUGAACUUCCCUUUUGGGUUCUCUAAAUCCUCAGUGUGCUUUACUGCUUGAAAUUGAGCGAGAGGGCAUUUCAGGGGAUCAAUCAAAGAUAAUAGGAGGGUUCUGAGCUCUUACAGUUUAAAAGAAUGCUGUUUUCAGAAAUCGUGAACAAGAACACCAUUAUGAGCAUUUCAUUAUUUCUAUGCAUAUAUUACAAACUCCUCCAUUGCUAGAAUGUAAUAACUAAAAACUGCCUUAUAAUGAAAUUGAAAUGAAUUUCAUUCCAUGAAAUGAGACUUUAAAAUCGGCCGGGCAAACAGGGGCAGUUUUUUCUCCUGUUGGCUCCCGAAAACACAAGAGGAAUGUUGGUCCUAUCAUGUCAGACAUGUUAUUGACAUAACUUUCCAGAGCUCCGAGCGCCUGGUUAUGUAAUAUUCCAAGGCAACUCCAGCCACUUCAAGGUUAUUGUGAAGUCCCUAAACAAAAGAAAAGAAAACACUAAAUGAAGUUUAAUACACGUCAGUUGAAAAGAUACACAGGAGGCAUGAAGGGUUUGGGGAGGUAGUGAUGUCAAUUACCAAUGACAUGAAUAUAUUUGUUCUGCCGUGUACAUAGUCUAAAUAAAAAUCUGCCACUUGCCAAGAGCCCCGAAGGCCUGGCAUCUACAGGAUGCUAGAUUGAGCUUUAAGUAUCGAAAACUAAGAAAAUGGAUCCUGAGAAACUUAACAGAAACCCAUGGGGGAGGGGAAGGAAAAAAAAAAAAAAGAGGUUAGAGUGGGAGAGAGCCAAAGCAUGAGACUGUUAAAAACUGAGAACAAACUGAGGGUUGAUGGGGGGUGGGAGGGAGGGGAGGGUGGGUGAUGGGUAUUGAGGAGGGCACCUUUGGGGAUGAGCACUGGGUGUUGUAUGGAAACCAAUUUGACAAUAAACUUCAUAUAUUAAAAAAAAAAAAAAAAACUAAGAAAAUAAAUGAACAUUUGAAACACAUUCAAAUUUGACCAGGUAAGAGUUAAUUAUGUAAUCUAUAGACCUUCUAUUCUCCCUCCUGAUGAUACCUGGAACUUAGGCCAUUGUUCCUUAGGUUCCAUGAUGUCCCAGCAUGCUGGGUUUGGCAAGAGAGAGGAUACGAAAGUUCACAUUCAGGUAACUGUUUCAGCUCAGGGACAAAUGUUAAAAGGAAAUACAAAUAUAAAAAACACACAGGCGUACCUGGAUGGCUCAGUUGGUUAAGCCUCUGACUUUGACUCAGGUCAUGAUCUCACAGUUUAUGAGUUUGAGCCCUGCAUUGGGCAAUCUGCUGUCAGCACAGAGCCCGCUUCGGAUCCUCCGACCACCUUCCUUUCUGCCCCUCCCCUCCUUGCUCUCUCUCGCGUGCAGGCUCAAAAUAAAUAAAUGAACUUAAAAAAAAAAAUAAAAAAUGAAUAAAUAAAAACAUACAUAUGUGGUGACAUGGCCUUCGAAUGGAACAAUAUGCAGUCUUUCACUGUAAUAUUGGUGGCGAGGUGUAAUACUGACAAAGUGUUUAAGGAAGUAAAUAAAAACAGAGGCAAGAGUCCAAAUUUCACAUAGAGUAGAAGUCCAAACAUUGGAAAGAAAUGUAGAAAACAAAACUAAUGGGGGAGGAAGAAGUAAGGGUGAGGAUUAGGGUUGUGGUGGACUUUGUUUUUCUGGCUUUAUGGCUUUUCAGAUUUUUUUUUUUUUAAUGAGGAUGUAUGCCUUUGGUAUUUGUGAUGUGUAACAAAACUGUACAGGACAAAGUCAUGUCUGCCUUUUCUGCACUCAGCCAUUCUUUUUUUUUUUUUUUAAUGUUUAUGUAUUUAUUUAUUUUUUUAAAUUUUUUUUAAUGUUUUAUUUUAUUUUUGAGACAGAGAGAGACAGAGGGGAGGGGGGGGAGGGUCAGAGAGAGAGGGAGACACAGAAUCCGAAACAGGCUCCAGGCUCUGAGCUGUCAGCACAGAGCCUGACACGGGGCUUGAACCCACGGACCGGGAGCUCAUGACCUGAGCCGAAGUCGGCCGCUUAACCGACUGAGCCACCCAGGCGCCCCUGUAUUUAUUUUUGAGAGAGAGAGAGAGAACACAAGCCGGGGAGAGGCAGAGAGAGAGGGAAUCGAAGCAGGCUCCAGGCUCUGAGAUGUCAGCGCAGAGCCCGACGUGGGGCUGGAACCUAUGAACCGUGAGAUCAUCACCUGAGCCGAAGGCUGAUGAUUACCCGACUGAGCCACCCAGGUGCCCUUGGACCCGGUCGUUCUUAAUUAAAUCUUUUUGUCAUUUUUGCAAAGACUGGAGUUAAAGAAGGCCUUUAGGCACUGAUUCAAAUACAGACUCCAAAGGACCAUCGUGGGCAUGACCCAGGUUCCCCAACAGUGCGGAUCAGAAGACUUACUUAGACAGGGUCUGUCUAGAUGCAGUACACAGUACCGUGCAUUUCUGUCAAAUGGCCGUCAUGAUUAUUAAGGAUUACCUUUCAAUGGGUAAGCAAAAGAUCCUCUUUUUAUUCCUCUAGGAAAAACCAGACGGCUUAGGGUCUAGCAAGCACCAGCUUCAAAGGGAAUAUAGGCAGAGAACGAGGACGCUUCCAAAAGAGAGACUUGGUGUUCAUUUCAAUGGAAGCCGAGAAUCAGAGGGGAGGCUUCUUUUUUGGGGUCAGAGUUUAAGUGGGAACUCAGCCCAAUCUGGGACCGGACUCAAGGGCCCAGCAGAAACCCUGCUUUGGCAUGCGGGGAGAACAGCUCGGCCUCCGUGGGAGUGAACGAAGAAGGCGGGGCUUCGCUGGAGUUGGGCGGCAAUCAGGAUGUCGGUGGAUGAAAACAGACCUGAUUUGUGAGGCUGGACAGCGCUCUCCACAUCCCGGUUUCUGAGUCACCUGAACCAAACUAGGCUCUGUUUUAUUACCUAGAACCGCCCACCCAUGGACAGAUUGCACUCCUGUCAACCACCAUCUGGAGGAAAGUUGUUCUCACCACCAGGCUCACAAACACGGGCAUGUGUGUUGCUAGCAUGGCCGUGACCUUCCAGGAGAAAAGUACAGGCAGGCUGA